rnacentral:lncRNA from 1 species
CUCACCUCUACGCUGCCUUCAGGACUACUUGUGUUGGCUAUUCCUGGUUGUCAACUUGAGUAUAUCUGGAAGGAACUACAAUCUAGAAAUGUAGGGCACACAGAACUUCUCCUGCCCCAGCUCCUCUGGACCCCAUAACUCAGAUAUUUUAGCUAUGCCAGUCUCUUGCGUGGUGCCCAUGCCUCUUAUUCCAGCAUUUGGGAGAUGGUUGAAGAGGGCUAGGGAUUCAAGGCCAGCCUUGGCUACAAAAGGCCUUGUCUCAAAAACAAAACUUAACUAAAAAAAACAAACAACCCCCUGCAAAAGAAACCCACUCCAACCAAAAUAGAAACAAACUGUUAAGGCCACAAAAAUGUUGUUAUUUUGGCAUGUGACAGUUCCAAGUUUAUAGGCUUGACAAGAUGGUCGGGUGGGUAACGUUUAGCUGUAAAGGCACUUCCCUCGCAAGCCCUGCCAGCUGGAGUUGGUGAGGUAGACAGUGGUAGAGCACUUGCUGUAAAAAAAAAAGAAGAUAUAUUCUAGCUAGCCCGCAUAAAGGACACAAA